CCUAAGGUAGCGAAAUUCCUUGUCAGGUAAAUUCUGACCCGCACGAAAGGUAUAAUGAUCCCUUCGCUGUCUCAACUGCAGACUCGGUGAAAUUUUAGUACCAGUGAAGAUGCUGGUUACCCGCAACUAGACGGAAAGACCCCGUGGAGCUUUACUAUAACUUGAUAUUGAAAUUUGAUUUAACAUGUAGAGGAUAACUGGAAGGCUAUGAAGCACGUUCGCUAGGACGUGUGGAGCCACCCUUGGAAUACCAGUCUUGUUAAAUUGAGUUUCUAACUUCGGCCAGUAAUCCUGGCUAAGGACAGUGUCUGGUAGGUAGUUUGACUGGGGCGGUCGCCUCCCAAAAAGUAACGGAGGCGCUCAAAGGUAUCCUCAGUAUGGUCGGAAAUCAUACAAAGAGCGCAAAGGUAGAAGGAUGCUUAACUGCGAGAAUUACAAUUCGAACAGAUGCGAAAGCAGGACUUAGUGAUCCGGCGGUCCCGAGUGGAAGGGCCGUCGCUCAACGGAUAAAAGUUACCCCGGGGAUAACAGGCUGAUCUCCCCCAAGAGUUCACAUCGACGGGGAGGUUUGGCACCUCGAUGUCGGCUCAUCGCAUCCUGGGGCUGUAGUUGGUCCCAAGGGUUGGGCUGUUCGCCCAUUAAAGCGGUACGCGAGCUGGGUUCAGAACGUCGUGAGACAGUUCGGUCCCUAUCCGUCGCGGGCGCAGGAAAUUUGAGAGGAGCUGUCCCUAGUACGAGAGGACCGGGAUGGACAUACCGCUGGUGUAUCAGUUGCGCCGCCAGGCGCAUUGCUGAGUAGCUAUGUAUGGAUGAGAUAAACGCUGAAAGCAUCUAAGUGUGAAACUCGCCUCAAGAUGAGAUUUCCCAUUCCUAUAUGGAAGUAAGACUCCUGAAAGAUGAUCAGGUAGAUAGGUUAGAAGUGGAAGCGUAGUGAUACGUGAAGCGGACUAAUACU
rnacentral:rRNA from 1 species